AACGAACGCUGGCGGCAGGCUUAACACAUGCAAGUCGAACGCCCCGCAAGGGGAGUGGCAGACGGGUGAGUAACGCGUGGGAAUCUACCUAGUUCUACGGAACAACAGUUGGAAACGACUGCUAAUACCGUAUACGCCCUAUGGGGGAAAGAUUUAUCGGAAUUAGAUGAGCUCGCGUAAGAUUAGCUAGUUGGUGGGGUAAUGGCCUACCAAGGCGACGAUCUUUAGCUGGUCUGAGAGGAUGAUCAGCCACACUGGGACUGAGACACGGCCCAGACUCCUACGGGAGGCAGCAGUGGGGAAUAUUGGACAAUGGGCGCAAGCCUGAUCCAGCCUUGCCGCGUGAGUGAUGAAGGCCUUAGGGUUGUAAAGCUCUUUCACCGAUGAAGAUAAUGACGGUAGUCGGAGAAGAAGCCCCGGCUAACCUCGUGCCAGCAGCCGCUGUAACAC
rnacentral:rRNA from 1 species